UACGUAGGGGGCGAGCGUUGUCCGGAAUCAUUGGGCGUAAAGCGCGUGUAGGCGGCUCGAUAAGUCUGCUGUGAAAGUCCAGGCUCAACCCUGGAAUGCCGGUGGAUACUGUCGAGCUCGAGUCCGGAAGAGGCGAGUGGAAUUCCUGGUGUAGCGGUGAAAUGCGCAGAUAUCAGGAGGAACACCAAUGGCGAAGGCAGCUCGCUGGGACGUGACUGACGCUGAGACGCGAAAGCGUGGGGAGCAAACAGG
rnacentral:rRNA from 1 species